CCUUUAAUGCCUUUAUAAACUGUGAAAAAAUGAUUUGGGCACUGAGAUUAACUCGGAAUUUCUCCAAAAUACCAGUUGUUUGAGUUCAAUCCGAUCCCUUAAAUACUUACUGAGUUUUUUAUAAUCAAAGAAUGGCGAUGCCGUGGAGCAUGACGCUGUGGAUAUCAAAGAUAGUGUGGUUGGCGCUUGCUGGUUGGAUCACCUCUUGCUUGAUCGUCGCUGAUGACAUCGCCGGCUCUAUUCGCACCGGUGAUAUUGGCGCCUUUCAUGUCGGUUGAUUUCAUAUAACAUUUUGAUUUUGAAGCAAUUCUCAUGGCAGUCACAAAAUCUGUUCUUGGAAAGCUUGCUUCCUUCACUGGUGAUAUUGCUUUGACCUCGGCUACAGAAGAGAUCCGAACCGCCAAAUCAGCUAAAAAGGAUCUUAAGAUAAUAGCGAGCAAACUGUCUGCCAUUUGUGCUGUUCUUCACGAUGCAGAGCAGAGGUUGUACACAAAUGAGUCGAUCAAGAUUUGGUUAAGGGAUCUCAAGGACGUUGUUUAUGACAUAGAUGAUCUUUUGGAUGAAGUCGCAACUUAUGCUUUGCAGUGUAGUGCCAAUAAAGGUCAUGUGCUAAUCCAGUUGAGGUACUAUUUUUCCUCCUCAAAUCCUUUCAUUUUCCGCUUAGAGUUGAGCCACAAAAUAAAAGACCUCCGCGAAAAAAUAGAGGACAUAGUUGCUAAGAAAAAUGAAUUUGGAUUGACUGAGCAUCCAGUUGAAAUCAAACCGGUAGAGAGGAAUCCCUUAGAUGCAUGUGCUUAUGUGAAUAUGUCGGAUAUUAUCGGAAGAAAUGACGAUAGAGUGGGUAUUGUAAGCAUGUUAUUAGCCAUUGAUGCUCUUAAUCAUCUACCUGUGAUUCCUAUAGUGGGGUUGGGAGGAGUUGGGAAAACUGCAUUGGCUAAGUUAGUGUACCAUGAUGAAUGGGUUGUACGUGCAUUUGAUAUCAAGCUUUGGGCAUGUAUCUCUCACAAGUUUGACAUGCAGAAAAUCAUGGAGGACGUUGUAAAAUCUGCUGUUGAUGACAAUUUAUCCGGCCUUAGCUUAGGUCGAACUGUUGAAAAACUUCAAAAGUUAUUGAGGGGGAAGAAGUAUUUUCUUGUGCUAGAUGAUAUAUGGGUACAUGACAUUGCGGUGUGGGCAGAGUUUAAGAACAUACUUGCGGUUGGUAAAGCAGGAAGUGUGCUUUUGGUCACUACAAGGCAUGCAAAUGUUGCUUCUGUCGUUGGAACUGUAGAACCUUACAAUUUGGUUGGUCUUUCAGAUCAAAAUUCUUGGUCUAUCUUCAAACAAUUAGCAUUCAUGGAAGGAGACGAAAAAAGAUAUCCAGAUCUUGUUCAUAUAGGAAGGUCUAUUGUGGAGAAAUGCGUUGGAGUUCCACUUCUUAUUAAAACUUUAGCGAGUUUUUUACGAGGCGUGAGAGACAAGAAAGAAUGGCAACAGGUCAAUAAGAAAGGCAGCCUCGUAGAGGUGCAAACUCAGAGCACUGACGUUAUGCGAGUUUUAAAACUUAGCUAUGACAAACUUCCCUCUCACUUAAAGCCAUGCUUUGUUUACUGUUCAUUGUAUGUGAAGGCUUCUGGAAUUUAUCCAAGAGUUUUAUCAAAUUAUUGGAGUGCCUUAGGAUUGCUGCAGCAAAGUGAUAAAGAUCACAAGAAUGAAGUAAAUGGAUACAAUUACUUGACAGAUUUGAUAGCAAGAUCCCUUCUUCAAGAACUGUGGGUUUUCUUUGACGGAACUGUAUUCUGCUGUCAAAUGCAUGAUCUCUUACACGAUCUAGCAACAAAUAUAAUAGGAGAAGAGUUAGCUGUUGUAACAUGUAAUGAGCUCAAAGUUUCUGAGAUGUCUAGGCAUUUAGUAUGGGGAUACGAGGCACGGGAUGGGCUAUUGGAAAAGGAAUUCCCGAAGGAACUAGUCAAGGCAAAGAAUGUUCUAACAUUCAGAUUUGGUUAUAAGAUGGGUCAGAUAAGCAAAUCCUUUCUUAGAGACAUUAUAACCAGUUUAGAACGCUUACGUAUCUUGGAUCUUGGGAAUAGUUACUUCGAGGAGUUGCCUGAACUGAUUGGAAAUUUGAAGCAUUUGAGGUAUCUUGACUUGGGGAAUAAUUAUAUGCUUAAAAAGCUCCCUAGUACGAUAUGCCAGUUACUAAACCUGCAAACGUUUCAUAUUUAUGGUUGUAAGCAGUUGAAAGAGCUGCCCAAAGACAUGAACAGGUUGGUAAGCCUUGGGGAUUUAAGUGUGACUACCAGCCAAAUGUGUUUAGCAGAUUCUAAAAUUAAUGGUCUGAGUUCUUUACGGCGUUUGGUGCUCUAUUCCUGUAAGGGGCUAACAUCCUUGUGGGAUGGUGCUUCUGUUUUAUGCAUCACAUCUCUCCGAGAGCUGCAGAUAAAUAACUGUUCUAAAUUGGCUAGCCUUCCGAAUAGCAUGAAUCAACUUGUUGUCCUUGAGAGAUUAGUUAUAUCUUAUUGUGAAGAGUUGGAUUUGGAGGUUGGGAAGGGCCUGCAUGGUCUUCACAACCUUCAAACAUUAGAGAUUGUAGGGGUUCCGAAGUUGGGUUCUUUACCAGAUGGUAUCCAAUCUGCUGCAUCCUCUCUUAUAAAUCUCUCACUCGGAUGUUGUACAAGUAUAACUCAGCUUCCUCAUUGGCUGCAACAUUUCACUCGUCUUCGUAGACUUCACAUUUACAGUUGCCAUAAUUUGUUGGCUUUGCCAGAGGGAUUUGGACAUCUUCAUUCUUUGGAGACUUUGAGGAUCCGAAAUUGCUCCCAUUUGACAACUAGAUGUGCAAAACCGUGUGGAGAAGACUUUUCUUACAUACAACAUGUUCACGAAAUUUUCCUUGACAAUCAACGACUCUGAGGAUUUCAAUCUCAAUAAAGCAGAGGUUUGGAACACAAGUCUGAUAAAAAAACGGACGUGAUCAUGGAGAGUAAAUUUUGUGAGAACUACGACCAUCAUAAACUGCAUUACAUGAGAUGGUGGGAAAAUAACUUCAGAUUUUUUCCACGCCACAAGAGGAUCUGCUUAUACAUAGUAUGUAUUUAUAUUUGAGAAACUCAUGGACAAUGGGAGGCUAUCUUGUCUGACCAAAAUGAUGUGACCUAAGCUAGAUGUAUGGGGGUACCCGGUGAUUAUGUGUCCUUGAGCUUAUGAGAAUUACUUUGAGUACAGGAAAAUAACUCUUAUUUUGUUGAUUGGGAGAUCGUUUACAAUACCAAUGUUAUCGGUGUUGGACUGUUGGGGGCAUGUUAGGCUUGAAUAGGCUUGUUGUUGCAUAGGAAUGUGGUUGAUUUAUGUUUGGUCAUAAUGUGUUAAACGUCAAAGCCGUUGGAGUUGGAUCUUAGUUGUUGGACUGAAGAUGAAGUUUCUUUUUUAGGUGUAACAGUGCAAGGGGUUGGGCUAGCAACCAAGUGAUGAAAAUGUGUUACUAAGAAUGUAUUGUAUGUUGGGACCUCUUCUUUCUUGGCUUCUCUGCUUUAUCCGGCUUUUGGGUUCCGGGUUUCAGUUGGGUUAGUCUGUCAAUGAAGGGGGGUUUUGAAAAUCAUAGUACAAAUUGUAGCUUUGUAGUCUAGCCUGGUCAAAGGGAACUUGGGGAGUUAAGACUCAGUGAUGGUUGUAAACUACCCCGAACCAUGUAAGAAUACGAAGUUCAAUUAGGCAGAGCUGAUGGUCUUUGCAUGAGUAAGAUAAUAUGCACCUUUUGUCAAACCUUGCAAAAAGGAUCAAGAGGCAGCCUCAAUGCCGAGCUCUGAGGUUGUUGAUGAUUACAUCUUCCAUCUGUGCCUAUGACAAGCAUUUUGGGUUAAUUUUUAACUUGUAAACCCAUCAAGGUUUCCUGUCGGUACUAGUAGUAUGCCAGUAUGGGCUGCUCAGUUGUAGUCCCUGUGACUCUUUCGCAGGGCACGGGUGUUAAUCUUGUUACUGAGACUUCUUUUUUAUAUACGGAGUAGUUAAUAACUUAAUAUGGAUUAUUGGAUUAUCAUACAUGACCCGUAUUAUGUAUCACAGGAAUAUAUCAGUUUCAUUUCUGCUUCAA